UUAGCGGCGAACGGUCGCGUAACACGUAAGCAACCUGCCCUGAAGUGGGGGAUAGCCUUCCGAAAGGAAGAUUAAUACCGCAUGUGGAUGAUUUCUUGCAUAUGAGAUCAUCUAAAGCAGCAAUGCGCUUCAGGAUGGGCUUGCGGCCUAUCAGCUAGUUGGUGAGGGUAAUGGCCCACCAAGGCGACGACGGGUAGCUGGUCUGAGAGGAUGGUCAGCCGGACUGGGACUGAGAUACGGCCCAGACUCCUACGGGGGGCAGCAAUUAGGAAUCUUGCGCAAUGGGCGAAAGCCUGACGCAGCGACGUCGCGUGACUGAUGAAGUCUUUCGGGAUGUAAAGGUCUUUUUUGGGGGAAGAAGGAUGUGACGGUACCCCAAGAAUAAGCCCCGGCUAACUACGUGCCAGCAGCCGCGGUAAUACGUAGGGGGCGAGCGUUGUCCGAAUUCACUGGGCGUAAAGCGCGCGUAGGCGGAUCUUUAAGUCAGAGGUGAAAUGCCGAGGCUCAACCUCGGAACUGCCUUUGAAACUGGGGAUCUUGAGGUAUGGAGAGGGAAGUGGAAUUCCAGGUGUAGCGGUGAAAUGCGUAGAUAUCUGGAGGAACACCCGUGGCGAAGGCGGCUUCCUGGUCAUAUCCUGACGCUGAGGUGCGAAAGCUAGGGGAGCGAACGGGAUUAGAUACCCCGGUAGUCCUAGCCGUAAACGAUGGAUACUAGGUGUUAGAGGUAUCGACCCCUCUAGUGCCGCAGCUAACGCAUUAAGUAUCCCGCCUGGGGAGUACGACCGCAAGGUUGAAACUCAAAGGAAUUGACGGGGGCCCGCACAAGCGGUGGAGCAUGUGGUUUAAUACGUCACUAACCGUAGAACCUUACCCAGGCUUGACAUCU
rnacentral:rRNA from 1 species